rnacentral:rRNA from 1 species
GACGAACGCUGGCGGCGUGCUUAACACAUGCAAGUCGAACGGAAAGGCUCCAGCUUGCUGGAGUACUCGAGUGGCGAACGGGUGAGUAACACGUGGGUAAUCUGCCCUGCACUCUGGGAUAAGCCUUGGAAACUGGGUCUAAUACUGGAUAUGACCUUUCUCCUUAUGGGGUUUGGUGGAAAGUUUUUCGGUGUAGGAUGGGCCUGCGGCCUAUCAGCUUGUUGGUGGGGGGAUGGCCUACCAAGGCGACGACGGGUAGCCGGCCUGAGAGGGGGAUCGGCGACAUUGGGACUGAGAUACGGCCCAGACUCCUACGGGAGGCAGCAGUGGGGAAUAUUGCACAAUGGGCGGAAGCCUGAUGCAGCGACGCCGCGUGAGGGAUGACGGCCUUCGGGUUGUAAACCUCUUUCAGCAGGGACGAAGCGUAAGUGACGGUACCUGCAGAAGAAGCACCGGCUAACUAUGUG